CCUACGGGAGGCAGCAGUGGGGAAUAUUGCACAAUGGGCGAAAGCCUGAUGCAGCAACGCCGCGUGAGAGAUGAAGGCCUUCGGGUCGUAAAGCUCUGUACUCAAGGAAGAGAAUGACGGUACUUGAGGAGGAAGCCCCGGCUAACUACGUGCCAGCAGCCGCGGUAAUACGGAGGGGGCUAUCGUUAUCCGGAAUGACUGGGCGUAAAGGGGGCGGAGGUGGUUUCUUACGUCAGAGGUGAAAGGCUACGGCUCAACCGUAGGAAGCCUUUGAAACUGGGAAACUUGAGUGCAGGAGAGGCGAGUGGCAUUCCUAGUGUAGCGGUGAAAUUCGUCGAUAUUAGGAGGAACACCAGUUGCGAAGGCGGCUCUCUGGACUGUAACUGACACUGAGGCACGCAAGCGUGGGGAGCAAACAGGAUUAGAUACCCGUGUAGUC
rnacentral:rRNA from 1 species